GAUAUCGUGGUGCAGAGGUGAGUAUGUCCUCCUAUGACGCGGAAGGCCUAGGUUCGAAUCCUGGCAGGAACA
rnacentral:tRNA from 1 species